AAAAGUUUGAGGCAAUUCAGGAAAGAACGAUAGGAAUGCAGCGUGAUCUGGAAAAUAUGCCCCUUUUCUGUCGGCAUCAUGGGAGAACUAAGGAACUCGUAGCCAAUUGACCAUAAGAUUAAGGUUUGAAUGAGCAAACUAACCAAAGGACAAAGCACAGGAAACCUUGACUUCGGUGUCUGCAUCCCACUGCCCUUUGGUAAGUCCCACAAAGUGUUUCCUCC
rnacentral:lncRNA from 1 species